rnacentral:tRNA from 1 species
GGAAUGAGAAGUAUUCUGACCAUGACUUCUAAUCAAGGGUUAAAUUAGUUAAAUUCUAAUUUCAUUCCU